AAUUUUGGACAAUGGGGGAAACCCUGAUCCAGCCAUCCCGCGUGUAUGAUGAAGGUCUUCGGAUCGUAAAGCUCUGUCCUUGGGGAAGAAGGUCUUCGGACUUGACGGUACCUAAGGAGGAAGCCCCGGCUAACUACGUGCCAGCAGCCGCGGUAAUACGUAGGGGGCAAGCGUUGUCCGGAAUUAUUGGGCGUAAAGGGUGCGUAGGCGGCCUUUUAAGUCAGAUGUGAAAGCCCACGGCUUAACCGUGGGACUGCAUUUGAAACUGGAAGGCUUGAGUAUCGGAGAGGGUAGUGGAAUUCCCAGUGUAGCGGUGGAAUGCGUAGAUAUUGGGAGGAACACCAGUGGCGAAGGCGACUACCUGGACGAAAACUGACGCUGAGGCACGAAAGCUAGGGGAGCAAACAG
rnacentral:rRNA from 1 species